UACAGAGGGUGCAAACGUUGUUCGGAAUUACUGGGCGUAAAGCGAGUGUAGGCGGUCUGUAAAGUCGGGUGUGAAAGCCCCGGGCUCAACCCGGGAAGUGCACUCGAAACUCACAGGCUAGAGUAUCGGAGAGGUUGGUGGAAUUCUCGGUGUAGAGGUGAAAUUCGUAGAUAUCGAGAGGAACACCGGUGGCGAAGGCGGCCAACUGGACGAAUACUGACGCUGAGACUCGAAAGCGUGGGGAGCAAACAGG
rnacentral:rRNA from 1 species